UUGCGUUUAAAAUUCUCUGAGAAAAUCGUCGAUCCGUGAUAAAUUGGCCGCCCUAUGUUGUAGUGUACUACAACUAAACUGUCGAAAACGGUAACGACAAUAUCGUCGUAUAUAGUUAUAUACUGUAUUAGUUUUCGCUUGCAUGUCGAGUGAGUUCAAGAAUCGACCCCCUGGCCCAUUAGGUAUCAUUUUUAUGGCAACUGUAACUCUCCCACG